rnacentral:tRNA from 1 species
GGAGCGGUGGCCGAGUGGUUUAAGGCGGCGGUCUUGAAAACCGUUGAGCGGCGACGUUCCGGGGGUUCGAAUCCCCCCUGCUCCG